rnacentral:rRNA from 1 species
GUGAGGAAUAUUGGUCAAUGGGCGCAAGCCUGAACCAGCCAUCCCGCGUGCAGGAAGACGGCGCUAUGCGUUGUAAACUGCUUUUCCAGGGAGAGAAACUUGCGCACGUGUUGCGCAAUUGACGGUACCCUGGGAAUAAGCAUCGGCUAACUCCGUGCCAGCAGCCGCGGUAAUACGGAGGAUGCGAGCGUUAUCCGGAUUCAUUGGGUUUAAAGGGUGCGUAGGCGGACUAUUAAGUCAGUGGUGAAAUCCUGCAGCUUAACUGCAGAACUGCCAUUGAUACUGAUAGCCUUGAGUUUGGUUAAGGUAGGCGGAAUGUGUAAUGUAGCGGUGAAAUGCUUAGAUAUUACACAGAACACCAAUUGCGUAGGCAGCUUACUGAGCCGACACUGACGCUGAGGCACGAAAGCGUGGGGAUCGAACAGGAUUAGAAACCCCAGUAGUCC